UACGUAGGGGGCGAGCGUUGUCCGGAGUUACUGGGCGUAAAGCGCACGCAGGCGGUCUGCUAAGUUUGGAGUGACAGUUGGUGGCUUAACUGCCAAAGUGCUUCGAAAACUGACAGACUUGAGGGCUUCAGAGGGACACGGAAUUCCGGGUGGAGUAGUGAAAUGCGUAGAGAUCCGGAGGAACACCAAAGGCGAAGGCAGUGUCCUGGGGAGUACCUGACGCUCAGGUGCGAAAGCCAGGGGAGCGAACGGG
rnacentral:rRNA from 1 species